rnacentral:rRNA from 1 species
UACAGAGGUCCCAAGCGUUGUUCGGAUUCAUUGGGCGUAAAGGGUGCGUAGGUGGCGCCGUAAGUCGGGUGUGAAAUUUCGGAGCUUAACUCCGAAACUGCAUUCGAUACUGCGGUGCUUGAGGACUGGAGAGGAGACUGGAAUUUAUGGUGUAGCGGUGAAAUGCGUAGAUAUCGUAAGGAAGACCAGUGGCGAAGGCGGGUCUCUGGACAGUUCCUGACGCUGAGGCACGAAGGCCAGGGGAGCAAACGGG